AUGUGGCCAGUGUCACCCAAUCCUAGGCCAGUGCCUCCUGAAUAUGUUAGGUUGCCAGGAAGGCCUAAAAACAAUGAUAGGAGAAGAGAAGAAACUGAGCAACCUAAGGGGAAGAAAAUGAGCAAGCAUGGCACAAUUAUCAAAUGCUCAUUGUGUGGUAACCCUGGACACAACAAAUCAGGAUGUAAGCAGAAUCCAGAGAGAGGCAAGAAAAAAAAUGCUCAUCUUGCUAGAACUAGCAAGAAAAAGAACCCAACUGAGGUAUUUGUUGCUGUAAUGUACUUAUCUAUGGCAUAUUUAUCCUGCUUAUUGCUCUUGCAUUGGAACUUAUUGCAUAUUUAUCCUUAA
rnacentral:rRNA from 1 species